GCCGAUGUAGCUCAGUUGGUAGAGCAAUGCUUUCGUAAAGCAGAGGUCCGCGGUUCGAUCCCGCGCAUCGGCUCCA
rnacentral:tRNA from 1 species